rnacentral:rRNA from 1 species
ACGAACGCUGGCCGCCUGCUUAACACAUGCAAGUCGAACGGAAAGGCCCCUUUGCGGGUCCUCGCGUGGCGAACGGGUGAGUAACACGUGAGUAACCUGCCCUUUACUUCUGGAUAACUUCAGGAAACUGGGGCUAAUACCGGAUAGGAAUCCUUGCUGCAUGGUGGGGGUUGGAAUGCUUCGGCGGUUUUGGAUGGACUCGCGGCUUAUCAGCUUGUUGGUGGGGUAGUGGCUUUCCAAGGCUUUGACGGGUAGCCGGCCUGAGAGGGCGACCGGCCACAUUGGGACUGAGAUACGGCCCAGACUCCUACGGGAGGCAGCAGGGGGGAAUAUUGCACAAUGGGCGGAAGCCUGAUGCAGCAACGCCGCGUGCGGGAUGACGGCCUUCGGGUUGUAAACCGCUUUCAGCAGGGGCGAAGCUUGUGGUGACGGUACCUGCAGAAGAAGCACCGGCUAACUACGUG